rnacentral:rRNA from 1 species
AACGUAGGACGCAAGCGUUAUCCGGCGUUACUGGGCGUAAAGCGCGGGCAGGCGGUCUUGCCAGUCUGAUGUGAAAUCUCUCAGCUCAACUGGGAGCAGCCAUUGGAAACUACAAGACUGGAGUCUGGCAGAGGUAGGCGGAAUUCCGGGUGGAGUGGUGAAAUGCGUAGAGAUCCGGAGGAACACCAGAGGCGAAGGCGGCCUACUGGGCCAGUACUGACGCUGAGCCGCGAAAGCCAGGGGAGCGAACGGG